UCUCUUCCUUGGCAUAAAUCAGGAAAGGAAAAAUUCAACCUUUUGCUAAUUUGUGUAGAACUUUGAUGAUAAUUUGCCUGGAGACAUUUAAGUAGUGCAACAUGAAAUAACAGAAACUAAAAUUAAUGGAGCUGGAAUGGGAUUGCAUUGUGCGGGGCCCCCACAUAUGGUUACAAUUCGGCGUUUCCUCUGUAUCUGACAGGAUCCUCACAGAAAGAAUGCUUCUGAGGAACUGCUACUGCACCCACCAUGAAGGCACGGAGAAGAAAUUGUCUGUUCACCAUUCUUUCUCCUCCCAUGGGAAGCUGUUGAUUUAGAAGCCACUGACAACCCAUCAGGAACUUUCUGAGUGAUGGCUAACCUUCGCUUCAGAGGCACAGCUGCUGAUUUAAUACUCUAGCUGGAGGUGAGAGUAAAUCCACGACAUCUUGGAGCCACUUGAGCUACUUGUGUGUAGUGAUAUUUGUGGUGUUUGCAGUGGUGCUGGAGUAGGGUGGUGACGUGGAAAAAUAUCCCUUUUU
rnacentral:lncRNA from 13 species